GGUGGGUCCGGCCAGUCUUUCAACUGCGUAAAGAAGAAGGACUUUACGGCUAUGCAACGGAUACGUCAGGAUGACCACGGAUUUUUCAACAAGUUCUUUCGCAAGGCGCCGCAGCUCUUGGACAAGCUAUUGAGCUUUUUAGCAGAUGACCUCACACGGCAGCACCACAUUCGAGAAACCCCUGGAGCCUGGAGAACGACUUGCUGUAGCAUUGAGGCAUGUACAGGCAUCUCUAGAUGCAUGCACAAACUCUACAUGCACAGGUGGUGAACUCAAAAAGGUUCAUUGCUGCAAGAAAGGCUGAAUGAGUAAACACAGAUGAAAGCGAUAAACAUCUGUCUUGCAAC
rnacentral:lncRNA from 1 species